rnacentral:rRNA from 1 species
GCUGAAUAUCUAGCUUAACCACAAAAUACCCAAAUACACAUAUAUAAAUACCCUCACAUACCAUUAAACUAAACCAACCAAACCAUUUUCCCUCCCUAGUAUAGGCGAUAGAAAAGGAUCCUCUAAAGCUAUAGAAAAAGUACCGCAAGGGAACGAUGAAAGAGAAGUGAAAUAACCCGUUAAAGCACCAAAAAGCAAAGAUUAAAUCUUGUACCUUUUGCAUCAUGAUUUAGCCAGACACACCCAGGCAAAAAGAAUUUUAGUCUGUACCCCCGAAACUAAACGAGCUACUUCGAGACAGCCUCCUAGGACCAACCCGUCUCUGUGGCAAAAGAGUGGGAAGAUCUCCAAGUAGUGGUGACAGACCUAACGAGUUUAGUUAUAGCUGGUUGCUUAGGAAAUGGAUACAAGUUCAGCUUUAAGGAUACUCAAACCAACUAUAGUGUUACCACCAAAGAUAUAAAGUUAGCCUUAAAAGUUAUUCAAAGGAGGUACAGCUCCCUUGAAAAAGAACACAACCUUAAAAUGUGGAUAAAGAUCAUAAUGAUAAAAGGACCCCUACUUCAGUGGGCCUGAAAGCAGCCAUCUGAAAAGAAAGCGUUAAAGCUCAAGCAGGACAUACCCAAUUAUACCGAUAACCAAUCUCACUCCCCUCUAACUACUAAGCUGUUCUAUAAGUAUAGAAGUAAUAAUGCUAAAAUUAGUAAUAAGAAGGCACGACCUUCUCCAAGCAUCCCUGCAAGUCAGACCGGACUCCCCACUGACAAAUAACGAACUCACACAAAGAGAGAAUUACACAAAUAGCACGACAUACUAGAAGACCCUGUAAUAAUUAUCGUUACCCCUACACAGGAGUGCACCCAAGGAAAGACUAAAAGAAAAGAAAGGAACUCGGCAAACACGAGCCUCGCCUGUUUACCAAAAACAUCGCCUCUUGCAAUCCCCAAGUAUUAGAGGUCCCGCCUGCCCAGUGAAAAAUUUUUAACGGCCGCGGUAUUUUGACCGUGCGAAGGUAGCGUAAUCACUUGUCUUUUAAAUAAAGACCUGUAUGAAUGGCAUCACGAGGGCUCAUCUGUCUCUCUUUUCCAGUCAAUGAAAUUGAUCUGCCCGUGCAGAAGCGGGCAUAUGCCCAUAAGACGAGAAGACCCUAUGGAGCUUUAAACAAAGAAUCAACCAUGCACACAAGUUUAUCCCCCGACAUGAAAUAAACAACUCAAGCACAUUGGCCUUCUGAUUCUACGUUUUCGGUUGGGGCGACCAAGGAGAAAAACAAACCCUCCAUGUCGACUGGGAAUACUUUAAUAUAAUUCCCAAAACUAAGAGCCACCACUCUAAGUAACAGGACACCUGACGAACAAUGACCCAGGCAUACCAAGCCUGAUCGACGAACCAAGUUACCCUAGGGAUAACAGCGCAAUCCUUUCCCAGAGCCCAUAUCGACGAAAGGGUUUACGACCUCGAUGUUGGAUCAGGACAUCCUAAUGGUGCAGCCGCUAUUAAGGGUUCGUUUGUUCAACGAUUAAAGUCCUACGUGAUCUGAGUUCAGACCGGAGUAAUCCAGGUCAGUUUCUAUCUAUGAAGUGGUUCCCCCUAGUACGAAAGGACCGGGAGAACAGAGGCCCAUGCUAAAAGUACGCCCUAUCCCCACCUAAUGAAAUCAACUAAAAUAGGAAAAAGGACACACCACCCUUAUCCAAAACAAGGAUAA